GGCAUGAUGGCCAAUUGGUUAAGAUGUUGGACUUGAAAUCCAAUGGGGGUUCCCUGCCCAGGUUUAAAUCCUGGUCAAAACA
rnacentral:tRNA from 1 species